rnacentral:sRNA from 1 species
UUUUUAUGGUAUACUAUUUAUAGCAAGUGGACGGUAGCGACCCCUGAAAGGUAGGUGGUGCUUAUGAAUGACUCUAAGCAAUCUACACGAAAGGAGGAUCGCAAUUUAUGAGUGCGUAUGAAGCAAUUAACUUAAUGCUUGAGUUCGGUAUUUUUAUUCUGACUCUUUU